ensembl:lncRNA
GUAACAGGUGUAUUAAAAAAUAAUUUAUAUUUCACCAAAGAUCCAUCCUGCAGUGUUAUCUCGCUUUGUCAGUAUUGGUUAUGUAUAUGUGUUUAUUUAUAUAUAUGUUUAUUUUCUGUAUUUAUAUUUUGGGAGCUUUUAUUUUGUUUGUGUGACCUUUGACUUCCCAUGAAGUCACUUCCUGUAGCUGCGCGCUAUUUUCCUCAGUCGCCUAGAGGCCCCGCUGAGGAGAGGUGAGCGUACGCUAGUGUUCUCAGUUACAGAGCAAAUAAACACAGUUAAAGUAACUAAAAGUAAUUCAAACACUGCUCGUUCCCUUUGUGCAUUUUGUCUCAUAGUUCUGUUAGAUAUUUUAGUGUGAAUUAAUGUUUCUCUGUCGAGUACAGCACUUUAUUGUAACAUGCUAGUUAGCAUGUCUCAGAUGAGAGCAUAGGAGCAUGCACGUGGCUUCUCAUGUGGUCCGCUAUCCUUCUCUCUCCCUUGAAGGUGUUCAUGCAGAAGUCCAGUAAAGUGAAGUUGCUGUACUGUUUUGUUUUUAUUUUAAACAGUUCUGGGAGAAUAAAUCCACCCAGCUGGCAAAGUGAGAGCUGACUCCUCUGGUCAUUCGCACAACACAACGCAGAGAACUAACGGCAAUAAGAGUUUAAGGCCAGACCGGCUACAGUGGUGCCGUGAGCCGGAUCCACACCACUUCAGAAUUGCUCAUCGUGGUUCGUGGAGACGCGAUCAACAUCAGUUUGGUCACCAGAGGUUGCUGUAAUGGACAAUUUAAUGUAAGCUCUGAACACAAAUCCCAAGCGUUCGAGGAAACACUUGCACCUUUUUUUUUGGACUGUUGUUUACAAGGUAAAUUUAAUUCUGCUGUUUGCAUUGUACAUAUGUUAUAACAAUGGAUGAUGAAAAAGUUUCAAGUGACGGGUUCAGCUUUGCCAUGGGAAGAGGGAGGGUAAUUGAGGGGUUGCCUAGUACACCUGUUUGUAGUGCAGGCUCCCCAGCUUUCUGUUCCACUCGCAUACUUGGUUGCACAUCUUCCAGUAGUGGUAAAGGUAACUCAUUCUCAGACCCUUCAGCUACAGCAGACCCAGCAUUAAAUGACCUGAUAACACAUAUAGCUCAACAGGUGGGGCAGACCAUUAGGGAUCAGUUGAAAAAGGAAUGUGGGGAAAGGGAUGACGGG